rnacentral:rRNA from 1 species
GACGAACGCUGGCGGCGUGCUUAACACAUGCAAGUCGAACGAAGAGCGAUGGAAGCUUGCUUCUAUCAAUCUUAGUGGCGAACGGGUGAGUAACGCGUAAUCAACCUGCCCUUCAGAGGGGGACAACAGUUGGAAACGACUGCUAAUACAGCAUACGAUCUAAUCUCGGCAUCGAGGAUAGAUGAAAGGUGGCCUCUACAUGUAAGCUAUCACUGAAGGAGGGGAUUGCGUCUGAUUAGCUAGUUGGAGGGGUAACGGCCCACCAAGGCGAUGAUCAGUAGCCGGUCUGAGAGGAUGAACGGCCACAUUGGGACUGAGACACGGCCCAGACUCCUACGGGAGGCAGCAGUGGGGAAUCUUCCGCAAUGGACGAAAGUCUGACGGAGCAACGCCGCGUGAGUGAUGACGGCCUUCGGGUUGUAAAGCUCUGUUAAUCGGGACGAAAGGCCUUCUUGCGAAUAGUGAGAAGGAUUGACGGUACCGGAAUAGAAAGCCACGGCUAACUACGUG